GCCGGUACGUUCACUUUGAGUGCUCAGAGUGGGCUGUUCAAGCUUGCAUAUGAUAAGCAUGGAAUGAUAGAAGAGGGCCUUGUCUAUGUCUGUCGGCCUCAAUCUACCACAAAGCAAUGAUUGAAGGGAGCGGUUGGGGCCACUAAUACUGCGACGUUAGAGGUGAAAUUCUUUGAGCGUUACAAGAUGAACUGCAGUGAUGGCAUAAGGCAAGCAUGUUUUCCUCGAGCAAGAGUGAAAGUCGGAGGUUUGAAGAUGAUCAGAUAUUGUCGUAGUUUUGACUGUAAACGAUGCUGAACAGUGAUCCACAGGCGUAGGCUUCCAUGACUUGGUGGGUAGCCUGUGGGAGACCAGAGUUCAGUUGGUGGGAGGUGCUUAUGGUUGCAAAGCUGAAACUUAAAGGAAUUGAUGGGAGGGCACUGCGGCUUAAUUUGACUCCACAUGGGAAAAUUCAUCCAGUUUGGACACCAGUAGGAUUGACAGAUUGAUAGCUCUUUCUCAAUUCGGUGGGUGGUGGUGCAUGGCCAUUUUUAGUUGGUGGAGCAAUCCGUCUGGUUGAUUCCAAUAAUGAACAAGACUCCAGUCUGCUAACUAGUGUGCUGAUGUGUGUGUUUAUUCAAUGGUGGGAUUGGCAUUCAUCACAGCGCACGGGUCGGUUUUCUCAUGCACUUCUUAGAGGGGCGGGUGGCAGUAAAGCUACAUGAGGUGGAGUGAUUAUACUGGAGGUCGGGAAACUUAACCACCUCCCAUGAUAGGGAUUUGGGCUUGUAACCAACCCUGUGAACAAGGAAUUCCUGGUAAGUGCAGGUUAACAGCCUGCAUCAAUCACAUCCCUGCCCUUUGUACACAUUGCCUGUUGCUACUACCGAUUGAAUGGUCUGGUGAGGUCCUCAGAUCUGGCUGACAAUGCAGCUGGGCCACGAGUAUGUGGCACAGCAGCGGUUUCCACCGUUUCCCACAUGUGUCGUACUUGCCUCAGCGGUCAAACCUGAUCAUUUAGAGGAAGUAAAAAUCAUAAGGUUUCCAUAGGUGAACCUGCAGAAGGCUCAUU